CGGGGCGUGGCGCAGCUGGUAGCGCAUCUGGUUUGGGACCAGAGGGUCGCCUGUUCGAAUCGGGUCGCCCCGA
rnacentral:tRNA from 1 species